ACCACAUCAUCCUCUUCACACAAUGGAGAUAAGCAUAUUACCAUAACAGGGAACUACAACACAGUGUGUGUUCAGGCAUUCACAGUAAUUUUUACUUUGGCAGGUGAAUUAAUGUCAAUGCUGCAGGAUGUUGAAGGAGGUGAAGAAAAAAAACUUUCCUUCAAGGAAACCUCAGAUGGUUGUGCAGGGAUCCUCAACUACCAAUGUGGUGAAAAGCAAACUGCUGCUACUCUUCUCCAAACCACCCAAUGGUACAGAAGCUCCAGUGUGUUUUUUGAGUGUUCAUGAUGACAAAAUAACACUGAGUAAGAAUCUGUACCAACACAUACUUCAGCAGAAGGCAUGGUUAAGCACGGAGUCCAAGAACUCAAACAAAACAGUACAGCAUCUGCAUGUUGCCGUCAAUGCUGUGUUAGAGGAUAUUGCUUCUGUAAGUGUAACCAUCAAAAAUUAGAAAAGAAGCCACAAAUAACCACCAUUGUUACUUUUUGUGUGGAACCAUUAAAAACAUUCUAACAAUCAA